UGUGGAAGCCUGUGCUGAAGUAAAGACUCUGCUAGCCAUGGCCCUGAUUGACUGUAGGAAACAGAAAAUGUUUCUCAAACUCUGAUAAAUGUAUAAACGCUGGCGGAAAACAUUUGUUAUCCUAACCCCCUAAGACUUUGAAACAUUCUUCGUCUCUGCAGCAAGUUCUCAUGCUAAUGGACGGACUCCGCAGUCCUGCCGCUCCCAGGGAAAUGGGCACUCUUCAUGUAACGUGUGCGCGCGCACACUUUGAAGCAUGCUUUCGUUGCCGUUGCUGUGAUAAAGCAUCUGGACAAGAAGCAGCUUUGGGAGAAGGGCUUUGUUUCAGCUCAACAGUUCCUGGAUAGAAUCCAUCAUGGCGAGGAAGUCAAGGCAAGAACCUGGAGCGGCUAACCCGGUAGUGAAAGGCUGUGGAUUCCUUCCAAGUUAACAGAGAUCAGAUUUGAGCAGGGGAGACCUUCUGAGUAUCUUGGCUACAAACAAGAGGGAAGAAGCCAGGAAAGAUUACAGGACAGGCGACGUGUAAGCUGAUCACUCAUACGGCAUGGACAGAGUUUAUAUUACCGUUCAGCUAUGCAGUCCAAAUGGGUUUAUAAAGCUGGCAGAUGUCUUUCACCUCCUCAAACACAGAAUCUCGGGCUGACUUGUGCACAUCACACGUCCCAUACCUGUGUUAAUACAGAUAUGCAUAUGACCUUUAAAAGUUUAUGUGUUUUCAGAGCAAGGGGUCAGACACCGAUGAAAAUGGGUGGCCUAGGUGAUCCAGUCUCUCAGAGUGCCUCUGCUGCAAUUUCCUCAAAGUUCCGCAUCCAGAACAGCUUCAAGACUGCUUGUUGAGAUGGUCCAGCCUCACAGACUUUAGCCAGGACUUUAGACAAGCCUUACACUUUCCCUUUACAGAGACUGGACAGCUAGCUAGCUCUCCCAGGACUUGACCAUAUUCCAGUUUUCUCAGGGUCCCCUAAAAAUGCCAGUGUCUCCAGACAACAGGAAGCAGUCUAGUGUAACAUGAAUUCUAAUUGGUCUUAGUAAAUAAAACUCGGAGUCAGAUAUAUGGGUUAAUCAGACACACAGAACAGCAAGCUACUAGCUCUUACCUCUACCCCAGACUGAAAGGGUGAUCCUGUCUGCAUGAAUCCUCAGACUGCAAGCUCUCUCUAGGAAACCUCAGACUGCAUCCUCAGACUGCAUCCUCAGACUACAUCCUCAGACUGAAUCUUCAGACUAUAUCUGCUCUCCUGUCUCCUCCUGCCUUACUUACAUUUCUCUCUCUGUGGAGCCAAAUCACUCCUGGCUCCUCUUCCCAAAUGCUAAGAUUAAAGGCAUGUGAUCCCAAGUGCUGGGAUCAUCUUUGUGUGAGCUCUAAUUUUCUUCUAGACAAAUUCUGAUACAAGGAGAGCAGAAGAAUUCUGGGGAGGAGGAAGUUGAUUCUUCCCUCUCCUGCCCAGAUCACCGAAGCAGCAGGAUGUGAGCUGCCCUA